rnacentral:lncRNA from 1 species
CAAGCAUCAUGGCAUCAUUUCCAGUGGAGUCGCUGAACUUGUAGGUUGUCUACCUGACACCUCGAGGUCCUUACACCAAGAAGUCAGCUGUGAAGCCCGCUGAGUCCUCGGGUGGAUGUCUGCCACCACAUACAUAGCCUUUGCUGGUGGCUUGGAGAGCUGGCAGGUCAGCCACAGAAAGUGGGCAAGACCUAGUCAGUAGCGACAGGAUAUGUUCCCAGGAUGGACAGCUGCCUGAUAUGCGUUCAGUUCCAGUGCCAAAGCCAAGGGCUGCCAGUGCCCUUCCUUCAUGCUAAGGACUUCUCUCUCUCCAGGACAGCGGAUGCCUGUUUGGAAGGCUGGAUUGGACUGAGCCACAUGGCAGAGCCUUGGAGAUGGCAGGGGAGGGAAGUCGAAGACAUGGAGUGGUUUGACAUUUGUGCAUAGUAUGAAGAAAGAUCAUCAAGGCUGAAAUGUGUCUGCUAAGAGGCUUCAGCUCAUGUUUGCUAAUCUCCUGUAUGGUGAAACACUGGCACCCAGACAAACCCUCAUUCACAUCAGAAC